rnacentral:rRNA from 1 species
UGAACGCUGGCGGUAGGCCUAACACAUGCAAGUCGAACGGCAGCACAGUAAGAGCUUGCUCUUACGGGUGGCGAGUGGCGGACGGGUGAGGAAUACAUCGGAAUCUACUUUUUCGUGGGGGAUAACGUAGGGAAACUUACGCUAAUACCGCAUACGACCUACGGGUGAAAGCAGGGGAUCUUCGGACCUUGCGCGAUUGAAUGAGCCGAUGUCGGCUUAGCUAGUUGGCGGGGUAAAGGCCCACCAAGGCGACGAUCCGUAGCUGGUCUGAGAGGAUGAUCAGCCACACUGGAACUGAGACACGGUCCAGACUCCUACGGGAGGCAGCAGUGGGGAAUAUUGGACAAUGGGCGCAAGCCUGAUCCAGCCAUACCGCGUGGGUGAAGAAGGCCUUCGGGUUGUAAAGCCCUUUUGUUGGGAAAGAAGAGCAGCAGGUUAAUACCCCGCUGUUCUGACGGUACCCAAAGAAUAAGCACCGGCUAACUUCGUG